AGUGGGGCGGUAUGUCUCAAGGUGGAACUGUCACGAGUCCUAAGUGCCAGGCUGCCCACUGCAUGGCUCAGGAUUUCAGAGUGACUCAGACUGUGACGUUUCUUCACUGUGACCAUCAUGUGAUUCUUUCCCUCGUGGGCUGCCCCUGCCUUCCGCAUGUGUCAUCAGCACCGUGGAGAGCUGGACUAGAGAAGAGUCAUCCUUGAUGUAUAAGAAGUCCUAGCUAAGAAAGCCUAUGAGGGGGCAGGAGAGGAAAGACAGACAGACAGACAGGGUCUGCUGGUAAGGGAGUGACAGGUUUGUGUAGCCUAGGAUGGGUCAGGCUCAUACACUGGCCUUCUUCCAACAGGGGUGGAAUCACAGUUGUUUAGGG
rnacentral:lncRNA from 1 species